rnacentral:rRNA from 1 species
GAUCCUGGCUCAGGAUGAACGCUGGCGGCGUGCUUAACACAUGCAAGUCGAACGAGAGGUGAAGACGGAAACCUUCGGGCGGAAGGCUUUACUUCGAGUGGCGGACGGGUGAGUAACGCGUGGGUAACCUGCCUCAUACAGGGGGAUAACAGUUGGAAACGACUGUUAAUACCGCAUAAGACCACAGCACCGCAUGGUGCGGGGGUAAAAACUCCGGUGGUAUGAGAUGGACCCGCGUUCGAUUAGCCAGUUGGCGGGGUAACGG